rnacentral:rRNA from 1 species
UGGACCCACGAAAAGAAAACCUGAC